AGGGGUUAUCAUCAUUCCUCUGAGUUUGUUUUGCUUCUGUGGGAAUUUAUUGUUCAGCUAUUAUGUUCAGCUAUUGCAGAUAUCCAAUAGCGGUAUUACUUUAUUUACUUGCAACAAAAAUGGUGAGUUAUGUUUGGAUCAUGGAUUUGUGAUUGGUUUCUGAUGAGUUGUGGAUGAUUUGGAAUUCGGUAGGUGACAGUUGGGACCUGUAGAUUUGUAAGAGUUCAGGUACAUGAUCAGGGUGGGGCUGAGGUUAUCGUUUUGAUGAUCACAGAGAUAUGUAGAAAUUUAGUUACGAGUUAUUUCAAAUUCUUAUGUUUGUUACUGGUAGCAAUCCGACUUCAAAAUAGUGCUUAAAUGCUCAGUUUUGUUCUUAGUCUAAGAUUAGUUUCCGGGAGUGCUUUGUUCAUGCCAGCUGGUGUGACUUUGUUUCAAUGUUUGAGAAAUGAAAAUCACAGCUUUGCAUCAUGAGUUCAGAUGCAAAAAGUUAGUGAAUUCAAAAAUUUCUGAAAGUUAGUGAAUUCAGAAAGUUCUGAAAUUUUGUGACUGUGGGUUGUUAUACAAUUGUUGUAUAUGAGAAGGGGAUUUGCGAUAAUACAAAUAAGUUGUAAUACAACCCAAUUACUGACUGUUAGAAUGUUCUCGCCGUGUGUCUAACCUAUACAAGGUUGCAAUGCUCAUGCAUUUUAUUCAAGAUAUUGUGAUUAAGCUGAUGUAGUUAUUUAAUUUAAUGUGUCUGUUGUUGAAUUUUUAUUGCUGAAUUAACUUCCAUUGAUUUUUCAUGGCGCUUCAGGUUGCAACAGAGUUUUUGGAACGACUUCGAGUUGUAGAAGUAUUUGCGCAGGUAAGUGCUCUUAGGCAAGCUGUAUAAUUCGGAGUUAUAUAUUGGAGCAGAUAGUUGUUCGGGUUGUGCAGAACAGACUCGGUCGCGUAUUGUUCUGCUUAGAGGAAGAAGAGGAGGUCUGAAUAAAAAAAGGGAGCUGGGAAAGCGAAUACGAUGUCCAGGCUUCUUUUAUCAGGUUGCUCUGUUAUCACCGUUCCUUCCUGAAGCAAACGGUAGUUCUAUGUUGAGCUGUCUUACUACUACUUUCAAAAUAUAGGCUCAGGAAUGUAGCCUUUCCUUACCAGUCAGGAGCAUCACUGCAAACAACGAACCAGCUACUGCAACAGCAGAACACCACAAUCUGAAAGAAAGAGAACAAAUGAGUCAGGCUGAACGACCCUUCCCAGAAAAGAACCUGAAAAUAGGUCCAGGAGGUAAACCUAAUAAAUUGAGGGCAACCUUCAUCUUAAUUAUUCACCUUUUUCUGCUGCUCAUCAUUACUUUGAUAUGUCAAUAUCCCUUAUCCCCUCAUCUGUGAGUGCUAACUAAAAAAACUAUCCAUUACAUAAUGGAACUCAAUCAUUUAUUACUCUAUGCAGAUAUUAAUAUUCUCCAAAGCGAUUUGGAUCACGAACUCAAUUCCAUAUGAUAUAUACAAUACAUAUGAUAUAUGUAAUAAAUAUAACAACAAAGCUUGUAACAUCUGUCACAAACUUAAUGUCACUAAUAACAUGAUUUGUGAUUUCAUACACGUAUUCACUAGGGUUUGCAUAUUACAUCCAAAAACAUAAAAACCGGUAUCGUUCCGACCUGAAUUUGAUAUGUAUAGUUAGUUUCAGUGAAAAUUAGGUGUUGAUAUGACUUUUGUGAGAAUUAGGAUGUAAUCAGCUUAUUCUUUUCUUCCUCGAUCGUAUACCUAGCUCGCUGGUGAGUAUUGUGGCUAGAUGCACCUUGCAUCCUUUAUUGUUCUCUUUUUUUCUUUUUUCUUUUUUGGUAAAAAUAAAAUUUAAGCUAUUAAAGUGUGUAUAUAUAUAU